CGGAAAAACUCGCAUAUUUUCGCAAUAGGGUCUGUAAGUCUCGUUUGGUUUCACUUUCGGUUUUACUACUUCCGGGUACAACAACAUGUGGAAUAUAUAAAGUCGUAACAGAGAAUCGGCGCCAAUAUGUUAUUUGGGGUAUUGUUAAGCGAUCGGCUGCAUACAUGAGACUGGAAAAACCCUGCCAUGUAGUUUAUUUAGGUUCCUAGUCGAUGCUACAGUAAGGAAGCGGUGGAUAUAAAGAUGUAGACACAAAGUUACGAAACCUGCUGAAGCAGAAGCAUCUGCUUCAAACGUACAUGUAGGAACCGAAGUUGAUACUGCUACCAAUAUAUCUGUACCAGACAACAAUGAAGUGCAUAGAUCUACAUGAUCACGAGUAUACAGCACCAAACCCUCAACAUUUAAAAAGGUACAGUGUACGAUACAAGUAUUCUAGUACAUCAAACCAGGAAGUUACAACGGUUGUUAAGUUUAGUGUCAGCUUCCCUUGAAGACUAUGAUGUUGUAAACUUGCAGUGAGAAAUAUACCUGCUUAAUUAAAGGAAACCAUCCUUGACAAUUGGGAACAUCAUAAUUGAAAGACCCUGGAAAGGGAUCAUGAACACUGUUGGGAGUGUCCAUUCAACUGAAAUAUAAAAGUCAGAAGAAUUGAAGAUUGCAAUGGAUGCAACAGAAGUGACCUAAUAUGACCAAAUUGAUAUGAAUAGCCAGUUUUUCGCUUGCAGUAAUGACAAGAGUCGCCACAAAGAAAAGACCUUAAUGUGUAUUACACCUAAUGCAGCUUAUUUCCAAUCUGUAUGCUGGAUACAAAUCUAAUUUGGCAAUUGUGAACCAUUGUGGCAUUUUAGAGAAGUUGCAAGUUGGUGAUAUAUUCCUGGCGGACAAAGGAUUUUGUAUAUUUGACAAACUUCCAAAUGACAUGACACUUAAUAUCCCAUUCUUUCUUACAAAUAAAUCCUACUUCUCAAAAGAGGAUACACAACUUUGCUAUAAAAUUUCCAGAUGCAGAAUCCAUGUUGGAUGGGAAAAUGAGAGAAUAAUUUUUUUUUUUUUUAAAUUCCUUAGCCAUAUUCUAUCAUAGUCAAGAUAUUGAUCUGACAAAAUAUUUCAGAUUUGUGUGGAUCAUGUGAAUUUGCAGGUUCCCCUUUUGAAGGAGAUUCCAGAUAAAUCCUACAAACUUAUUAGAUUAAUUGCAUGUAUAUAUAUACCUUAAAUCUGCACAUACCUGCCACAUUGAAUUUUAAAGUUAAAAGUAAUGAAUACCAUAUAUGCAAUAUAACUUUUCUACAUAUUUAUAUAAAUAUAAAGCCUUUUAUAUUCAUAUGAAUAUAAAGCCCUUUGGAACGUCUCCAUCAGAAUGAAAUAUUCUCGAGAGGAAUGUUAAACAAUAUACAUGUACAAUCAAACAUAAAGCCUUUUGUUCUCAUUCUGAAGGUUUUCAAAUCUGCAUUAUUAAAAAAGAAGUAAAAUCCAUUGUUUUAGUAAAUGCAUGUAAUUGAAUGAUUUUUGUAAAGCUGGACACUGUGUCUAUACAUACAUGUAUUUUGGUUCAUCUAAAAUAAGAAAAACUGUCUAUAAUGUUUAUUCAAUAAAUAUACAUGUAAUUACAUAAUUUUGAUAGAUGCACCACUGAUAUCAUAAUAAAGUAUAUGUACAUGUG